CCUACGGGAGGCAGCAGUGGGGAAUCUUCCGCAAUGGGCGAAAGCCUGACGGAGCAACGCCGCGUGAUCGAAUGAAGGCCUUCGGGUUGUAAAGAUCUGUUGACAGGGACGAAUAAGCAAUGCGAAUAGUUUUGUGUAUGACGGUACCUGUUUAGAAAGCUCCGGCUAACUACGUGCCAGCAGCCGCGGUAAUACGUAGGGAGCAAGCGUUGUCCGGAAUUACUGGGCGUAAAGGGCGCGUAGGUGGGCGCUUAAGUCAGGUGUGAAAACUCCGGGCUCAACCUGGAGACUGCACUUGAAACUGGGUGGCUUGAGGGCAGGAGAGGAAAGUGGAAUUCCUAGUGUAGCGGUGAAAUGCGUAGAUAUUAGGAGGAACACCAGUGGCGAAGGCGACUUUCUGGACUGUACCUGACGCUGAGGCGCGAAAGCAUGGGUAGCGAACAGGAUUAGAUACCCGUGUAGUC
rnacentral:rRNA from 1 species